rnacentral:lncRNA from 1 species
CAUUAUUAUUAUUUUUUCAGUGCUGGUAGCUUAUAUGGCUUAUUUUAAACAAGCAAACAGAGAAAAACAUGACACUUCAAUGCUCUUAUUUUAGGACUUGUUAUAUCCAUCCCACCUUGCUGUUAACAGUCCUGAUUCAGGGACUGCGAUUUCAGAGCAGGACUCAACAUUCUUGCAAAGGCAUGAUUUCAACUGGAAAACAGUUCUCUGAGACAGAGAGAACAAGAUAGAGGGAGCAAUGCUCAGCUCUGCUUCUUGCUUCUUGGACUACUUGAGCAAAAUAAUUUCUUCUUUGCAAACUGGGAGCUUUUUGUCCUGCAGUGACAGAAGUUUUACAAUAGUUAUGGAAAUUCAGUGGAGGAAAAAUGAAUUCUGGAAGAGAACAACAGCAGUACACAAAGGACAUCCUGAGGAUUAUUGGACCAUACUGGGCUCAAGGUAAUUACUACUGAACAAUCAUCAACCACUGGAUAUGGACAUGUCAACAGGAGGAACCACAACACCCUGGCUCAGCUACUCCAUGCAGCUUCAUCCCAUUUUACAGAAUGAAUACCUUGAACCAUAUAACAAAAUAAAGGCUCUACUCAGGAUAAUGGAAAUACUUUC